rnacentral:rRNA from 1 species
UUUUAGGGGUGUUCCUCUAGUAAAGUACGGAGGGGCGUUAACCUGAAACAUGAAUGCGAGGACCGGGCGACCGGUUCGAAGUCUCCCAACUACGCUGCCAAGAAAACCCGCGUAUACUGUCCGUGAUCUGCCCGUACCGUAAACCGACACAGGUGGGUGGGGUGAAAAUCCUAAGGCGCGCGAGUGAGACUUGGUUAAGGAACUAGGCAAAAUUAUCCCGUAACUUCGGAAGAAGGGAUGCUGCUUGUUAACUCAAGCAGCCGCAGUGAAAGGGGCAUCGUGACUGUUUAACAAAAACACAGGACUCUGCUGAAAUCGCAAGAUGAUGUAUAGGGUCUGACUCCUGCCCGGUGCUGGAAGGUCAAGGGGAGUGGUUAGCCGCAAGGCGAAGCUACGAACUCAAGCCCCAGUAAACGGCGGCGGUAACUAUAACCGUCCUAAGGUAGCGAAAUUCCUUGUCGGGUAAGUUCCGACCUGCACGAAUGGAGUAACAAAGAUGCCGCUGUCUCAACCAAGUGCUCGGCGAAAUUGUGGUACGAGUGAAGACGCUCGUUACGCGUGGUUAGACGAAAAGACCCCGUGGAGCUUUACUGUAACUUGUCACUGUGUUAUGGAUUUAAUUGCGUAGAAUAGCUGGGAGCCUUUGAUGCAGGGGUUGUGGCCCUUGUUGAGGCGCAAUGUGAAAUACCAGCCUAUCGAAUCUGUGACACUAACCUACGGCCGUAAUCCGGCCUAGGGACCAUGACAGGCGGGCAGUUUGACUGGGGCGGUCGCCUCCUAAACGGUAACGGAGGCGUUCCAAGGUUCGCUCAGGGCGCAUAGUAAUCGCCCACAGAGUGCAUUGGCAGAAGCGAGCUUGACUGCAAGGCCUACAAGCCGGGCAGGGACGAAAGUCGGACAAAGUGAUCCGGUGGUACCUCGUGGGAGGGCCAUCGCUCAACGGAUAAAAGCUACCCCGGGGAUAACAGGCUGAUCUGGUCCAAGAGUUCACAUCGACGACCAGGUUUGGCACCUCGAUGUCGGCUCAUCGCAUCCUCCCGCUGGAGCAGGUGGGAAGGGUUGGGCUGUUCGCCCAUUAAAGCGGUACGUGAGCUGGGUUCAGUACGUCGUGAGACAGUACGGUCUCUAUCUACCAUGCGCGUUAGGAAACUUGAGAGGAGCUGUCCCUAGUACGAGAGGACCGGGAUGGACGAACCGCCUGUAUGCCAGUUAUUCCGCCAGGAGUAUCGCUGGGUAGCGGUGUUCGGAAGAGAUAAACGCUGAAAGCAUCUAAGCGUGAAACUCUCCUCAAGAUAAGGUUUCCCGGGUCGCAAGACCCCAUAAGGACACAGGAAGACUACCUGUUUGAUAGGCUGCGAGUGUAAGGGCCGCGAGGUCUUAAGCGAAGCAGUACUAAUCGUCCGAGAGUCUUGGCUGA